rnacentral:rRNA from 1 species
CUACGGGAGGCAGCAGUAAGGAAUAUUGGACAAUGGGCGCAAGCCUGAUCCAGCCAUGCCGCGUGCAGGAUGAAGGACCUAUGGUUCGUAAACUGCUUUUAUACGGGACAAAACCCCCGGUCGUGCAUCGGGGUUGAUGGUACUGUAAGAAUAAGGGUCGGCUAACUUCGUGCCAGCAGCCGCGGUAAUACGAAGGAUCCAAGCGUUAUCCGGAUUUAUUGGGUUUAAAGGGUGCGUAGGCGGACUAUUAAGUCAGAGGUGAAAUCCGGCAGCUCAACUGUCAAACUGCCUUUGAUACUGAUAGUCUUGAGUGUAUUUGAUGUGGGCGGAAUAUGUCAUGUAGCGGUGAAAUGCUUAGAUAUGACAUAGAACACCGAUUGCGAAGGCAGCUCACAAAACUACAACUGACGCUGAGGCACGAAAGCGUGGGGAGCAAACAGGAUUAGAAACCCCUGUAGUCC